rnacentral:rRNA from 1 species
CAGUAGCCACGGGAAUACGGAGGGUGCAAGCGUUAAUCGGAAUUACUGGGCGUAAAGCGCACGCAGGCGGUCUGACAAGUCAGAUGUGAAAUCCCCGGGCUUAACCUGGGAACUGCAUUUGAAACUGUCAGGCUGGAGUCUUGUAGAGGGGGGUAGAAUUCCAGGUGUAGCGGUGAAAUGCGUAGAGAUCUGGAGGAAUACCGGUGGCGAAGGCGGCCCCCUGGACAAAGACUGACGCUCAGGUGCGAAAGCGUGGGGAGCAAACAGGAUUAGAUACCCCGGUAGUCCCUGUCUCUUAUAA